GACGAACGCUGGCGGCGUGCCUAACACAUGCAAGUCGAACGAAGUGGCGGACGGGUGAGUAACGCGUAAUCAACCUGCCCUUCAGAGGGGGACAACAGUUGGAAACGACUGCUAAUACCGUAAACUGAAGGAGGGGCUUGCGUCUGAUUAGCUAGUUGGCGGGGUAACGGCCCACCAAGGCGAUGAUCAGUAGCCGGUCUGGAGAGAUGAACGGCCACAAUGGGACUGGGACACGGCCCAGAAUCCUGCGGGAGGCAGCAGUGGGGAAUCUUCCGCAAAGGACGGAAAUCUGACGGAGCAACGCCGCGUGGGUGAAGACGGGCUUCGGGUUGUAAAGCUCUGUUAAUCGGGACGCGGUACCGGAAUAGAAAGCCACGGCUAACUACGUGCCAGCAGCCGCGGUAAUUC
rnacentral:rRNA from 1 species